rnacentral:rRNA from 1 species
UUAAGCGACUAAGCGUACACGGUGGAUGCCCUGGCAGUCAGAGGCGAUGAAGGACGUGCUAAUCUGCGAUAAGCGUCGGUAAGGUGAUAUGAACCGUUAUAACCGGCGAUUUCCGAAUGGGGAAACCCAGUGUGUUUCGACACACUAUCAUUAACUGAAUCCAUAGGUUAAUGAGGCGAACCGGGGGAACUGAAACAUCUAAGUACCCCGAGGAAAAGAAAUCAACCGAGAUUCCCCCAGUAGCGGCGAGCGAACGGGGAGCAGCCCAGAGCCUGAAUCAGUGUGUGUGUUAGUGGAAGCGUCUGGAAAGGCGCGCGAUACAGGGUGACAGCCCCGUACACAAAAAUGCACAUGCUGUGAGCUCGAUGAGUAGGGCGGGACACGUGGUAUCCUGUCUGAAUAUGGGGGGACCAUCCUCCAAGGCUAAAUACUCCUGACUGACCGAUAGUGAACCAGUACCGUGAGGGAAAGGCGAAAAGAACCCCGGCGAGGGGAGUGAAAAAGAACCUGAAACCGUGUACGUACAAGCAGUGGGAGCACGCUUAGGCGUGUGACUGCGUACCUUUUGUAUAAUGGGUCAGCGACUUAUAUUCUGUAGCAAGGUUAACCGAAUAGGGGAGCCGAAGGGAAACCGAGUCUUAACUGGGCGUUAAGUUGCAGGGUAUAGACCCGAAACCCGGUGAUCUAGCCAUGGGCAGGUUGAAGGUUGGGUAACACUAACUGGAGGACCGAACCGACUAAUGUUGAAAAAUUAGCGGAUGACUUGUGGCUGGGGGUGAAAGGCCAAUCAAACCGGGAGAUAGCUGGUUCUCCCCGAAAGCUAUUUAGGUAGCGCCUCGUGAAUUCAUCUCCGGGGGUAGAGCACUGUUUCGGCAAGGGGGUCAUCCCGACUUACCAACCCGAUGCAAACUGCGAAUACCGGAGAAUGUUAUCACGGGAGACACACGGCGGGUGCUAACGUCCGUCGUGAAGAGGGAAACAACCCAGACCGCCAGCUAAGGUCCCAAAGUCAUGGUUAAGUGGGAAACGAUGUGGGAAGGCCCAGACAGCCAGGAUGUUGGCUUAGAAGCAGCCAUCAUUUAAAGAAAGCGUAAUAGCUCACUGGUCGAGUCGGCCUGCGCGGAAGAUGUAACGGGGCUAAACCAUGCACCGAAGCUGCGGCAGCGACACUAUGUGUUGUUGGGUAGGGGAGCGUUCUGUAAGCCUGUGAAGGUGUGCUGUGAGGCAUGCUGGAGGUAUCAGAAGUGCGAAUGCUGACAUAAGUAACGAUAAAGCGGGUGAAAAGCCCGCUCGCCGGAAGACCAAGGGUUCCUGUCCAACGUUAAUCGGGGCAGGGUGAGUCGACCCCUAAGGCGAGGCCGAAAGGCGUAGUCGAUGGGAAACAGGUUAAUAUUCCUGUACUUGGUGUUACUGCGAAGGGGGGACGGAGAAGGCUAUGUUGGCCGGGCGACGGUUGUCCCGGUUUAAGCGUGUAGGCUGGUUUUCCAGGCAAAUCCGGAAAAUCAAGGCUGAGGCGUGAUGACGAGGCACUACGGUGCUGAAGCAACAAAUGCCCUGCUUCCAGGAAAAGCCUCUAAGCAUCAGGUAACAUCAAAUCGUACCCCAAACCGACACAGGUGGUCAGGUAGAGAAUACCAAGGCGCUUGAGAGAACUCGGGUGAAGGAACUAGGCAAAAUGGUGCCGUAACUUCGGGAGAAGGCACGCUGAUAUGUAGGUGAAGUCCCUUGCGGAUGGAGCUGAAAUCAGUCGAAGAUACCAGCUGGCUGCAACUGUUUAUUAAAAACACAGCACUGUGCAAACACGAAAGUGGACGUAUACGGUGUGACGCCUGCCCGGUGCCGGAAGGUUAAUUGAUGGGGUCAGCGCAAGCGAAGCUCUUGAUCGAAGCCCCGGUAAACGGCGGCCGUAACUAUAACGGUCCUAAGGUAGCGAAAUUCCUUGUCGGGUAAGUUCCGACCUGCACGAAUGGCGUAAUGAUGGCCAGGCUGUCUCCACCCGAGACUCAGUGAAAUUGAACUCGCUGUGAAGAUGCAGUGUACCCGCGGCAAGACGGAAAGACCCCGUGAACCUUUACUAUAGCUUGACACUGAACAUUGAGCCUUGAUGUGUAGGAUAGGUGGGAGGCUUGGAAGUGUGGACGCCAGUCUGCAUGGAGCCGACCUUGAAAUACCACCCUUUAAUGUUUGAUGUUCUAACGUUGACCCGUAAUCCGGGUUGCGGACAGUGUCUGGUGGGUAGUUUGACUGGGGCGGUCUCCUCCUAAAGAGUAACGGAGGAGCACGAAGGUUGGCUAAUCCUGGUCGGACAUCAGGAGGUUAGUGCAAUGGCAUAAGCCAGCUUGACUGCGAGCGUGACGGCGCGAGCAGGUGCGAAAGCAGGUCAUAGUGAUCCGGUGGUUCUGAAUGGAAGGGCCAUCGCUCAACGGAUAAAAGGUACUCCGGGGAUAACAGGCUGAUACCGCCCAAGAGUUCAUAUCGACGGCGGUGUUUGGCACCUCGAUGUCGGCUCAUCACAUCCUGGGGCUGAAGUAGGUCCCAAGGGUAUGGCUGUUCGCCAUUUAAAGUGGUACGCGAGCUGGGUUUAGAACGUCGUGAGACAGUUCGGUCCCUAUCUGCCGUGGGCGCUGGAGAACUGAGGGGGGCUGCUCCUAGUACGAGAGGACCGGAGUGGACGCAUCACUGGUGUUCGGGUUGUCAUGCCAAUGGCACUGCCCGGUAGCUAAAUGCGGAAGAGAUAAGUGCUGAAAGCAUCUAAGCACGAAACUUGCCCCGAGAUGAGUUCUCCCUGACUCCUUGAGAGUCCUGAAGGAACGUUGAAGACGACGACGUUGAUAGGCCGGGUGUGUAAGCGCAGCGAUGCGUUGAGCUAACCGGUACUAAUGAACCGUGAGGCUUAACCUU